rnacentral:rRNA from 1 species
AUUGAACGCUGGCGGCAGGCUUAACACAUGCAAGUCGAGCGGAGUGAUGGUGCUUGCACUAUCACUUAGCGGCGGACGGGUGAGUAAUGCGUAGGAAUCUGCCAUUUAGGGGGGGACAACAUUCCGAAAGGAAUGCUAAUACUGCAUACGUCCUAGGGGAGAAAGCAGGGGAUCUGCGGACCUUGCGCUAAAGGAUGAGCCUAAGUCGGAUUAGCUAGUGGGUGGGGUAAAGGCCUACCAAGGCGACGAUCUGUAGCGGGUCUGAGAGGAUGAUCCGCCACACUGGGACUGAGACACGGCCCAGACUCCUACGGGAGGCAGCAGUGGGGAAUAUUGGACAAUGGGCGGAAGCCUGAUCCAGCCAUGACGCGUGUGUGGAGAAGGCCUUUUGGUUGUAAAGCACUUUAAGCGAGGAGGAGGCUACUAGUACUAAUACUACUGGAUAGUGGACGUUACUCGCAGAAUAAGCACCGGCUAACUCUGUACCAGCCGCCGCAGUAACAC